GCCGGGAUGGCGGAAUUGGUAGACGCAACGGACUUAAAAUCCGUUGGCCGCUAGGCCGUGCGGGUUCGAGUCCCGCUCCCGGUA
rnacentral:tRNA from 1 species